rnacentral:rRNA from 1 species
UCUACGGGUGGCAGCAGUGGGGGAUAUUGCACAAUGGGGGGAACCCUGAUGCAGCGACGCCGCGUGGGUGAAGGAGCGUUUCGGCGCGUAAAGCCCUAUCGGCAGGGAAGAAGGAGGACGGUACCUGACUAAGAAGCCCCGGCUAACUACGUGCCAGCAGCCGCGGUAAUACGUAGGGGGCAAGCGUUAUCCGGAUUUACUGGGUGUAAAGGGGGCGCAGACGGCAGCGCAAGCCAGGAGUGAAAGCCCGGGGCGCAACCCCGGGACUGCUCUUGGAACUGCGCGGGUGGAGUGCAGGAGGGGCAGGCGGAAUUCCUGGUGUAGCGGUGAAAUGCGUAGAUAUCAGGAGGAACACCGGUGGCGAAGGCGACCUGCUAGAACAUAACUGACGCUGAUGCGCGAAAGCGUGGGGAGCAAACAGGAUUAGAUACCCCUGUAGUC